rnacentral:lncRNA from 1 species
UUUUUAAAAAAAAAAUGGCAGCCAUCCCCAGUGUCACUGAAGGGCAGAACUACCAUGUGUUAAUCCCAAGGAAAAGAGCCCAGUGCACUAGGUAGGCACCCUAGGAAAGGACUCUAAAUGCUUGACCAGUUCCUAGAACUGCUGGGAAGUUUUGUACAAUUUCACCUGCCAGAGUUCAAGUUCAGUACGCCAGACCCACUCCUGCAAGUCAGCAAAUCUACUUUACGGUUCACAGAUAGGCUGCAAGAAAUGGUAGAAACCUAGGAUCCUAGCAAGCCUAUCCCUUGAGGUUCAGGACUGCUACCCAGGGUAGCAAAUGGGUACCUAUCUUCCUCUCACAGCCCGGGGGUCAGGAAAACUUCUUGGGUCCACUUACUACAGGACUCCCUGUUCUGGGAGGGACAAGGACAGUUCCUCCUUUCCUAAGGGUGUUACGUUCUCAGUCCAUUCUGAACCAGAAUUGCAAUCAAGAAAGGAGCAAAGGAAGGCCAGCCAUGGUCAUUUACGAAACUGUCCUCUGAUAAUAAGUACAAAGGCACCAGUCAAUGCUGUUCAUAUUGCCAAGCAUGUAGCAAAGAAGGGCAGCCUGCACUCAAUGGGUAUUAAAAUGGGCUGCUCUGUAUUGUUUGUAAGCGCAGGCAUCAAGUACUUGUUAUGGAAUAAUUCUUAUACUCAGGAAAGACUUUAAAGCCUGCUAGACACCUGAAGGUCAAGCGAGGUAAUACAGAUGGUUGGUAAGUAUGUGUAUUUAUAUGUGUAUAUAUACAGGUAUACAUAUGUUUAUGCUAUUUACAUAUAUAAAGAUAUAUUUUAUAUACA